GGUUAAGCGACUAAGCGUACACGGUGGAUGCCCUGGCAGUCAGAGGCGAUGAAGGACGUGCUAAUCUGCGAUAAGCGUCGGUAAGGUGAUAUGAACCGUUAUAACCGGCGAUUUCCGAAUGGGGAAACCCAGUGUGUUUCGACACACUAUCAUUAACUGAAUCCAUAGGUUAAUGAGGCGAACCGGGGGAACUGAAACAUCUAAGUACCCCGAGGAAAAGAAAUCAACCGAGAUUCCCCCAGUAGCGGCGAGCGAACGGGGAGCAGCCCAGAGCCUGAAUCAGUGUGUGUGUUAGUGGAAGCGUCUGGAAAGGCGCGCGAUACAGGGUGACAGCCCCGUACACAAAAAUACACAUACUGUGAGCUCGAUGAGUAGGGCGGGACACGUGGUAUCCUGUCUGAAUAUGGGGGGACCAUCCUCCAAGGCUAAAUACUCCUGACUGACCGAUAGUGAACCAGUACCGUGAGGGAAAGGCGAAAAGAACCCCGGCGAGGGGAGUGAAAAAGAACCUGAAACCGUGUACGUACAAGCAGUGGGAGCACGCUUAGGCGUGUGACUGCGUACCUUUUGUAUAAUGGGUCAGCGACUUAUAUUCUGUAGCAAGGUUAACCGAAUAGGGGAGCCGAAGGGAAACCGAGUCUUAACUGGGCGUUAAGUUGCAGGGUAUAGACCCGAAACCCGGUGAUCUAGCCAUGGGCAGGUUGAAGGUUGGGUAACACUAACUGGAGGACCGAACCGACUAAUGUUGAAAAAUUAGCGGAUGACUU
rnacentral:rRNA from 1 species